rnacentral:rRNA from 1 species
AUUGAACGCUGGCGGAAUGCUUUACACAUGCAAGUCGAACGGCAGCACGGGGCAACCUGGUGGCGAGUGGCGAACGGGUGAGUAAUACAUCGGAACGUGCCCAAUCGUGGGGGGAUAACGUAGCGAAAGUUACGCUAAUACCGCAUACGAUCUACGGAUGAAAGCGGGGGAUCGCAAGACCUCGCGCGAAUGGAGCGGCCGAUGUCAGAUUAGGUAGUUGGUGGGGUAAAGGCUCACCAAGCCGACGAUCUGUAGCUGGUCUGAGAGGACGACCAGCCACACUGGGACUGAGACACGGCCCAGACUCCUACGGGAGGCAGCAGUGGGGAAUUUUGGACAAUGGGCGCAAGCCUGAUCCAGCCAUUCCGCGUGAGUGAAGAAGGCCUUCGGGUUGGUUAAAGG